CCUACGGGUGGCAGCAGUGAGGAAUAUUGGUCAAUGGGCGUAAGCCUGAACCAGCCAAGUCGCGUGAGGGAUGAAGGUUCUAUGGAUCGUAAACAUCUUUUAUAAGGGAAUAAAGUGUGGGACGUGUACUAUUUUGUAUGUACCUUAUGAAUAAGGAUCGGCUAACUCCGUGCCAGCAGCCGCGGUAAUACGGAGGAUGCGAGCUUUAUCCGGAUUUAUUGGGUUUAAAGGGUGCGUAGGCGGGCUGUUAAGUCAGCGGUGAAAGGCUGUGGCUCAACCCGAGAAAUGCCUUUGAUACUGGGGGGCUUGAGUCUGGUAGAGGCAGGUGGAAUGCGAGGUG
rnacentral:rRNA from 1 species